UUAAGUUCAGCGGGCAUCCCUACCUGAUCCGAGGUCAAACUGAGAAUCAAAGACGUAUGCGGCAGCCCCGCGGUCUGGUCCUUGUGCGAACAAUCUGCUACGCGCAAGACCAACCGCCGGACGCCGAUGCUUUUCAGGCGAGUCCCGCCGCGAUACGCGAGGGACAACAACCCAACACCAAGCUGCGCUUGAGAGGUGCA
rnacentral:misc_RNA from 1 species